rnacentral:lncRNA from 1 species
CUGUACAGUAGGUGGCGGUGGUUGCGAUUCGCCAUAGAAAAAGUUAAAGAAGAAGAAGAGGCGUUGCAUUCAGAGAGAAGAGAGAUACUGAAGAAAGAGAGAGGCGGAGAACGAGAAAGCAGAAGAGAGGAGGGAAUAGUAAAGAAUUCAGGAAUAGCCUUUUUUUUUUUUGGUCUACGUAAACGUUAGGUUUUCCGUAGAUCAAGGAAAAGUCAACCGCUUUUACGUUGCAACAACACGAGGACAGAGAGAGGAGAGACGGCACGGAAGAGCUUCUCUUUGUACUUCAAAUAAGUGGAGACGCUACUGCUGGGAACAAUAGCAGUAAUCUAGCUGAAUUGUCUAGCUACUCUUUAUGAGAAUCACGGCUGUUUAGCGACCAACAAUACAAAACAAGGCGUCUGAAAUUCGCUCUACCACCACAACUUCCAGGAUCUUCUCCAUCGGACCGACCAUGGCUGCGGUUACCAGCCCAGAGACGAGCCCUCAACCCCGGGUAUAUUUCCAGACGGUAGCCUCCGGUUCAACCGAAGAACCGGAGAUACCUGUUCGGAAACAAGGGCGAGUAACCGUCAAAUAUGACCGGAAAGAACUAAGGAAGAGACUAAAUCUGGAGGAAUGGAUAAUCGACCAGCUAACGGCUCUUUACAACUGUGAGGAGGAGGCUAUACCAGAGUUGGAGAUAGAUGUGGAUGAGCUGCUGGACAUGCCUAGUGAUGAUGACAGAGGAGCCAGAGUUAAAGAUCUCCUGGUAGACUGUUACAAACCUACUGAGGACUUUGUGUCAGAUCUGCUGGAUAAGAUACGUGGCAUGCAGAAGCUCACCACCCCCCAGAAGAAAUAACCUCAACCCUGAGUCACCCCUCCUCUUCACCCCCUGCCUCCUCCCGCCUCCCUCCCUCACUCCAACCUCACCCCACAGAAGAAAUAGGAGCUUGGCUUCCUCAGAGAUGGAGGAGGAAGAGGGAGGAGAAAAAGAGGAGAGAAGGGGCAGAGGAGUAAGAGAGGUGAUUGAAGCAGCCAAUCACAUCUAAGCAGGGUGUAUGAUGUCCUGUGAUUUUUAUUUUAAUGUUUUAUUUAGUUUACAUUUAUUUAGAUUACAUUUUUUUAAAGGUGGUUUGUAUUGUUGUUAAAUGAUCAAGCGAUCGGUCAUAUUUCUCAUGUUAAUGAGUGAACAUAGCAUACUAUAUUGUAGCUGUAAGCCAAGCCCAGGAUAUAUUCUGAGUUUUAGUAGCCAAGCCAGGAUAUAUUCUGAGUUUUAGUAGCCAAGCCCAGGAUAUAUUCUGAGUUUUAGUAGCCAAGCCCAGGAUAUAUUCUGAGUUUUAGUAGCCAAGCCCAGGAUGUAUUCUGAGUUUUAGUAGCCAAGCCCAGGAUAUAUUCUGAGUUUUAGUAGCCAAGCCAGGAUAUAUUCUGAGUUUUAGUAGCCAAGCCCAGGAUGUAUUCUGAGUUUUAGUAGCCAAGCCCAGGAUAUAUUCUGAGUUUUAGUAGCCAAGCCCAGGAUGUAUUCUGAGUUUUAGUAGCCAAGCCCAGGAUAUAUUCUGAGUUUUAGUAGCCAAGCCCAGGAUAUAUUCUGAGUUUUAGUAGCCAAGCCCAGGAUAUAUUCUGAGUUUUAGUAGCCAAGCCAGGAUAUAUUCUGAGUUUUAGAAUGAGUCCCAAAAUGGCACGUUAUUUAUUACCUUCUAUAGUCCAUUACAUUUGACCAGGGCUCUGGUCCAAAGUAGUGGACUAGGUUUUAAGGGUGCCGUUUGGGGAUGGGAGAGACUCCUAUGUAUAGUACAGUGUGUGUGUGUGUGUGUGUGUGUGUGUGUGUGUGUGUGUGUGUAGUCUAGACCUCAGUGAAAACACAGACCGGGGGACUUGACAAAGUGACCUUUUUUUCCUCUUUAGUUCUAUCUCUUUAUCACUGUUUAUUGUUCUGUCAGAUAUUUCAUGUUCCAUAAUGUGCAGGUGUAAGGCCUUUGUCAGUGAGGACUCUUGUAGAGAGAUUUCAGGAGACGAGUAAACCAAUGAGGGAGGGAGGGAGGGACGGAGGGAGGCACUGGGUAGUGGAAAAUGUGUCGAUGUGUUCAUCCAGAUAGCCACACACACACCCAGGGAACAGCAGAAACACAGACCACAGCUGCUGCUCCUUCAUACUCUCACACAGAUGUGAACACUGGUACACACACACAUAAACACACACUGGCUCUCUCUCGUCAACACACACACGGGAAGGAGGGGGGGUAUAAUCAUUGAGAGAGGGAUAAAUGGAGAAAAAGAGGGAGAAUCAGAGGUCUUACUCUUCCUGGCUUGGCUGCCUCACAAGGCCUUAGUGUUGCCAAUCAUGCAGCUCUCUCACUCACCCCAUGUCUCUCUUUGGCCCUCACUCCUUCCUCUGUCUCCUUCCCUUUCUACUUCCAGCAAUCUACAGAUGACUCCAUCCCUCCCUCCAUCUCUCUCUCUCCUCUCCCUCCAUCUAUCCCUCUCGCUCUCUCCUUCCCUCCCUCCAUCUAUCCCUCUCGCUCUCUCCUUCCCUCCCUCCAUCUAUCCCUCUCGCUCUCUCCUUCCCUCCCUCCAUCUAUCCCUCUCGCUCCCUCCCUCCAUCCCACCAUCCCUCCCUCCUUCCCACCAUCCCACCCUCUCCCUCCUUCCCUUCCAUCUCUCUCUCCCUCCUUCCCUUCCAUCUCUCUCUCCCUCCUUCCCUUCCAUCUCUCUCUUCCUCCUUUCCUUCAUCCAGCUCUAUCCUUCCAUCCCUCCAUCUCUUGUUUAAUAACUGACGUUGCCUUAGGUCUAUAUUGAAGUUACAAACCAAAUAAAAGGAGACGUCCAUUUUUAACAACAAUUUUUAAACAAAAAAAAAUGAUCCUGUUGUUGUUUAGGAAGAGGUCAUCUAGAGGUCAUCUAGAGGUCAUCUAGAGGUCAUCUAGAGGUCAUCUAGACCUCUUUACGUUCUUUUAGAUGUGAAUAUCUAUUCUAGGUCAAUUAUUACUGUGUGUACUAUUAUAAUACCUGGUGCGCAUCCCAAAUGGAACCCUGUUCCCUAUAUAUAGGGAAUAGGGUGCCAGCCCUGGUCUAAAGUAGUGCCCUAUAUAGGGAAUAGGGUGCCAGCCCUGGUCUAAAGUAGUGCCCUAUAUAGGGAAUAGGGUGCCAGCCCUGGUCUAUAGUAGUGCCCUAUAUAGGGAAUAGGGUGCCAGCCCUGCUCUAUAGUAGUGCCCUAUAUAGGGAAUAGGGUGCCAGCCCUGGUCUAUAGUAGUGCCCUAUAUAGGGAAUAGGGUGCCAGCCCUGGUCUAUAGUAGUGCCCUAUAUAGGGAAUAGGGUGCCAGCCCUGGUCUAUAGUAGUGCCCUAUAUAGGGAAUAGGGUGCCAUUUGAGAAGCGGCCCCUGAUAACCUGUUGUUGCGUGUCAGACCUUUUUCUUUUGUUACUGUACGACAACUUUGACUGUUGAAAUGCUGUUUUAGAAGUGAUGUGUUUUUAAUAAGAAACUGAAGAACGAAAAUGUAGCGACAGGGUUUUUGUUUUACCACAAUGCUGUUACACUUUUAUGCAACUUUAAUAAACAAAAUAUGUUAAAAGGGGGUGUGUUCAUGUGGUGGGUGUGACAACACUGACACUGGGAAUGGUUUUAACACCACCUGCAGGAUGUUUGUCACUAUGUAACUACUGUAGCUAAUGCAUCAAUACUGUCUUCACAAUCCCAGGGUGUUAGGGAUUGUGUUUCUGUGUCCCAAAUAGCUUAUUCCCCCCCCAAGGACAAAUUCCACUGCAAAUGCCAAUAGAAUAGAAUGGGGCUAUAGUGGCAUCUUCAGCUCUCUGGAUCUUUUCUAAUGUACUGUAUACUGAACCAAACUAUAAACUCAACAUGUAAAGUGAUGGUUUCAUCAACUGAAAUAUAAAAUCCCCAAAAUGUUCCAUACAUACAAAAUGCUUAUUUUUCUAAUUUGGUGCACAAAUUUGUUUACAUCCCCUGUUGGUGAGUAAUUUCUCCUUUGUUAAGAUAAUCCAUCCACCUCACAGCUUUGGUAUAUGAAGAAGCUGAUUAAACAGCUUAUUGCUGGCGUCAAUAAAAG